GGUGAACGCUAGCGGCAGGCCUAAUACAUGCAAGUCGGACGGGAUUGGGGAGCUUGCUCCCCAUGAGAGUGGCGCACGGGUGCGUAACACGUAUGUAACCUACCCUUGUCAGGGGGAUAGCCUCUCGAAAGAGAGAUUAACACCGCAUAACAUUAUUGGAUGGCAUCAUUUAAUAAUCAAAUAUUUAUAGGACAAGGAUGGGCAUGCGGGACAUUAGCUAGUUGGUAGGGUAACGGCUUACCAAGGCUACGAUGUCUAGGGGAUCUGAGAGGAUGGCCCCCCACACGGGUACUGAGACACGGACCAGACUCCUACGGGAGGCAGCAGUAAGGAAUAUUGGUCAAUGGGCGCAAGCCUGAACCAGCCAUGCCGCGUGCAGGAAGACGGCCCUACGGGUUGUAAACUGCUUUUGCGCCGGAAUAAACCCUUUUACGAGUAAGAGGCUGAAUGUACGGCGAGAAUAAGGAUCGGCUAACUCCGUGCCAGCCGCCGCCGUAA
rnacentral:rRNA from 1 species